rnacentral:rRNA from 1 species
GAUGAACGCUAGCUACAGGCUUAACACAUGCAAGUCGAGGGGAAACGACAUCGAAAGCUUGCUUUUGAUGGGCGUCGACCGGCGCACGGGUGAGUAGCGCGUAUCCAACCUGCCCACCACUUGGGGAUAACCUUGCGAAAGUAAGACUAAUACCCAAUGAUAUCUCUAGAAGACAUCUGAAAGAGACUAAAGAUUUAUCGGUGAUGGAUGGGGAUGCGUCUGAUUAGCUUGUUGGCGGGGUAACGGCCCACCAAGGCGACGAUCAGUAGGGGUUCUGAGAGGAAGGUCCCCCACAUUGGAACUGAGACACGGUCCAAGCUCCUACGGGAGGCAGCAGUGAGGAAUGUUGGUCAAUGGGCGAGAGCCUGAACCAGCCAAGUAGCGUGCAGGAAGACGGCCCUAUGGGUUGUAAACUGCUUUUAUAAGGGAAUAAAGUGAGUCUCGUGAGACUUUUUGCAUGUACCUUAUGAAUAAGGACCGGCUAAUUCCGUGCCAGCCGCCGCAGUAACAC